UUCCUGUUUUUGUUUCAAAACUUACAGGUUGUUGGAGUGUACAAGAUAUUUUAUUGGACUUGCCAUUCAAAGUGUCUGAUUCCAGCAUCAACAUGCAGAAGGUUUGAUGAACCCAACAAACACAUCAAAAUGGAAAUCAAGCCUAGGUCUGGGAAGAACAACACACUUGAGAAUUAGAUCUGGGAGGAGGGGGAGGAUCAACACAUACCCUGGUGAGUGUUCUCUGCUCUUGGAUCUCUGCCUUGGUCCAUGAUGAGUUAUCUUUUGUGCUCUCAGAGUUCUUCAAAUUUUCUUUUUUCUCAGUUUUGAGUGGUCCGAGGAGAAAGAUGAGGGAGUGGCGGCGUGGAGGGGUGGGGAGUGGGGAGGAGACUGAUUAGGGGGUGCGUCUUAGGGUUCCUCUAUCAACUGGGAGGAAGAGGAGAGGGAGAAAAGUAGAGCAGCUUUUGUCUUCUCUUUUUGUGUGUAGCCUAUCCUCUCUCCUUUUUGUUCUUUUUUUUGCUUUACGACACGAGAGACAGUUGUCCACGACCCAAAAGAACACACAAACAAGGACAAA